GCCGGGGUGGCGGAAUUGGUAGACGCAAGGGACUUAAAAUCCCUCGCAGGUUGCACCUGUGUGCGGGUUCGAGUCCCGCCCCCGGCA
rnacentral:tRNA from 1 species